UUCCCAUAAUUUCAUCUUAAUUUUCUCUAGAUCUCUUUAUCGACAUCUCAUCUUUUAUCUCAAAUCCCUCAACUCUGAAGAACCUAAACUCGAUUUCCGAUCUGAAGGAUCUUGCCUCUUCUCGCUUGGACUCGAUCAAGCGCCAGUUGGAUCGCUCACACUCGGAGAUUCUCAAGGACAUUGAGGCUUUUCAAUCUUGUCUCCAUAAACGAUUCAAGGUCUCUAUAACUCUUUGUUGAUAUAAUUGUAUAUGCUUCUGUGUGCGCGCCGAUAGUUUGAUUCUGAAUUCCGACAUAUAAUCUUUAUCAAAUCACUUUUCCCUUUGUAGAAUCAGAAUUGUUCAAGGAUGUGAUGAGAUCUGUAUUUUAUCAACUCUAUAGAAGCAGAAUUAGUAACAAAAUCUAAAGUAUUUCUAGUGUUAAGACUAGAAAUCAUUUUGUUGAGUUGAUAUAGUUUGAAAGGAAGGUUGCUUUAAUUGUAGCUCUAGACGAGCUAUACAAUCUGUUAGAUAACGAUUAUUUUACUUUAAAUAUUUUACUUCUAACACCUUAGGUGAUUAAUAACUAUUUUCUUUGAUAGUUCCAACCAGAGAAGAAACUCUUAUCUUUGGAACUAAUAAUCAUGUGUUACGGUUUGGAUGGUAAUUUUACAUUUUUUUAUAUUGUGAGCAGUUUGAAGUAUUUGCGCAAAUUAUGUAUAUUUCCCCCUAAACAUGGUUGCUAGUUUCAAAUGUUGUAGUAAGUGUACUUGAAGGUGCAUAUCGACUCUUCGUCAGUUUUAAUGCGUCUUAGUAUUGACGUGAACUAAAUGUAGACUUGAUCCCGAUAAGAUUGGGAGAGUUUGACGUAAUAUUGGGAAUGGAUUGGUUGUAUAACCAUGCGACGAUAAUUGAUUAUCAGAAUAAAAGUGUAAACCUUCAGACUCCAAAUAAGUCUAAGGUAGUGUUUUGUGGUAGCUCAUCGCUUAAGAAAUCAUGUUUCCUUAUGAUGAUGUAGGCCAAGAAAUUGUUAAGGAAGAGAUGUGUAGGUUAUUUAGCUUACAUUGUAGAUACUCGAAAAAAGGGAGUAGAAAUUAAGGAUAUAUCUGUAGUGAGGGAAUUCCAAGAUGUAUUUUUCGACGAUCUGCCUGGUCUUCCGCCAGAUAGAGAAAUUGAAUUCGUAAUAGACUUAGCAUCGGGAACGACACCAAUUUCAAAAACUCCAUAUCGUAUGGCGCCUGUAGAAAUAAAGGAAUUGAGCAUACAAUUGCAAGAGUUACUAGAUAAGGGUUACAUACGAUCGAGUCUGUCUCCUUGGGGAGCACCAGUGUUGUUUGUAAAGAAGAAUGAUGGAUCGAUGAGGCUCUGUAUCGAUUAUCUAAAAUUGAAUAUAGUAACGAUUAUCUUUGGUUAAAUUAGUUCCCUUGUUCUCAGGCCUGGUUUACCCCAUGUGACCUUUCAGACCACUGUCCUGCGGUGGUCAAUACUGGCCUAAUCUUGCCUCGCAUUCACAAACCGUUCCAAUUCUUCAAUUUCAUGGUGGAUCUUGAAGGAUAUCUUGAUAUAGUGAAGUCUUCUUGGAGUGUCUCUGUCCUUGGUGACCCAUUGCAAGUCUUAGCUGGCAAGUUAAGAUCUAAUAAGAGGGCCUUUCACGCUCUAAAUAAAUCAAAUGGUAAUCUGUCCACCAAUGUUGGCAAGGCUAGAGAUUUGCUUCAUGCUACUCAGAUUGCUAUCUCUUGUAAUCCUGAUGACCUAUCUCUUUAUCAGCUUCAAAGGACUCUUUCUCAAGACUUAUGGGCAGCCCUUUUAUCUGAGGAAAAACUUUCCAAGCAAAAGUCUAGAAUUCAAUGGCUUAAGGAUGGAGAUGGUAACAAUGGGUUCUUUCAUAACCAAAUUAAGAUAGGUGGAAUCAAACAAAAUCUUAUCUGUUAAGAAAGAUUCAGGUGAUCUUUGCUUUGGCCAACUAGAAAUCUAAGAAAUUGAUGUGAACCAUUUCCUCUCUUUAUUGGGGUUAUCUUUUCAAGCUGGCAACCCAAACUUACUAGACCUUGCUUCAUCUAUUGCUAACACUAUUACCUCUCAACAAGCUUCUCUACUUUAGAGGGAUAUUUCGGAUGCUGAAGUUUUGUCCACCUUGAAAUCCAUGAAAUAGAAUAAGAGCCCUGGCCCUGAUGGUUUCAAUGUUAACUUUUUUCUGCAUUAUUGGGAUAUUGUGGGGAAGGAUUUCACCCUUGUUGUCCAAUCCUUUUUCAAUCAAGGAUGUUUGCUUAGAGGAACUAACUUAACUUCAAUUACCCUUGUUCCUAAGGUUCAAAACCCUUCCUCCAUGAAUGAUUAUAGACUUAUAUCGUUCUGCUUCCUCUCAUUAUCUCCCCUUGCCAAGAUGCUUUUGUUACGGGUCGUAGGAUAGGGGAUAAUAUUCUUCUUGGCAAAAAAUUGUUUCGUAAUUAUCACAGGUCUUCGGGUCCUCCUCGUUGUGCUAUGUAAAUAGACCUCAGUAAAGCAUUUGAUUCAGUUUCUUGGGAUUUCUUAUUGGAAGCACUUAGGCUCUUCAAAUUCCCUCCUAAAUUUUUAUUUUGGAUUAAGGCUUGUAUUACUUCUACAUUUUUCUGUAUAAAGGUCAAUGGGGCCCUUUGUGGUUACUUUAAAGGUGCGAAGGGUUUAAGGCAAGGGGACCCUCUUUCCCCCCUACCUAUUUGUAAUAGCUAUGGAGAUUUUAUCGCUUAUCUUAUCAAAGGAAACUUUACAGCCCUCUUUUAAAUUCCACUGGAAAACUAAACUGAUGUCCAUCACCUAUCUAUGCUUUGCAGAUUACUGUUUAUCUUUUUCCAUGGAGAUAUUGACUCAGUUAGGAUUAUCAAGUUUUGUAUUGGCAAAUACUCUGGCCUUUCUGGGUUGACUAUAAAUGCUUCGAAGAGUAUGUGUUUCCUUGCUCAAGUCCCAAAUAAUCUUGCGGAGUCCAUUAUAAUACUCUUGGAUUUCAAUUGGGGUCCUUCCCUACCAAGUUUUUGGGGGUUCCUUUAAUCACUUCUAAGCUUAGCCUUGCUGACUGACAACCUCUUCUCGAUAAGGUUAAAGCUAGAAUAACUUUUUGGACUUGCAAAUUUCUUUCCUAUUUAGGACGAUUGCAGUUAAUUAAAUCUGUUAUAUAUUCCAUCUAGUCUUAUUGGUCGACCCAUUUUAUUCUUCCUGCUACUGUUCUAAAAGACGUAAAGUCUAUUAUGACUAGAUUUUUAUGGAAGGGCCUUUCUCUGCUUAAACAUGGUGCUAAAGUGGCCUGGGCCAAAAUCUCUCUGCCUCACUUAGAAGGUGGUCUAGCUAUAAAGAACCUUGUGGAUUGGAACAAAUCAUUGAUUUUAAUACAUCUUUGGAGGAUUGUUAAUCUUAGGCACCAUUCCCUAUGGGCCUCAUGGGUUAGAGCUAGUAUUAAAUCUAAGUUAUUGUGUGUAUGUCUAUACCCAAUGACUGCUCUUCGAUUUGGAGAAAAGUUCUUCAGCUGAGGCCUUUAGGUCUUAAUCACAUUAAAUUCCGUAUUGGUAAUGGUGCGGAUACUAGCCUAUGGUUUGACCCUUGGAUGGGUAAUGGCAUUUUGGCCAACUCUAUUAACUCUUCUUUGGUCAUCAACUCUGGUCUAGGGCCUAAUGCAACAGUUAGCAACAUUAUCCAAAACUUUACUUGGAAUCUCCCUUCAUCUAACCAUAAUGACUUCAUAGUCUUUAAGGAUGCUUUUGACUUCAACAGGAAGUGUAACUCCACUUUGCAAGAUGAAUGUUUUUGGGGAAAUACAAAAGCUAGUGAGGUUAGAGCAUCUACUAUUUGGCGCUCGAUUAGGCAGGUUGGUGUGGAUGUGCUUUGGGACAAACUAGUGUGGCAUAGGAUUCUCACCCCUAGGUUCUCUUUUAUUCUUUGGAUGGCUUUUAACAAAGGGUUGCGUACCAUGGAUAAACUGCUCACUUUUGGCCUUCAGGUUAACCCUAUGUGUGUGUUAUGCAAAACUGACUUAGAAUCAUUUGAUCACUUAUUCUUUCACUAUGACUAUUCCUUAAGGGUUCUAGUUUCUAUUCUUAGACACUGUGGUUGGAGAGGUUGUAGCAGAAACUGGUCUUCUAUUACCAAUUAUUUUAUUCACUAGUCCUGUCCUCAAUUUCAUCAUAGUAUUAUUUAUCUCGGGUUUGCGGCUAUAGUCCAUUGAAUCUGGACUGAGCGUAACGUAAUGAUCUUUUCAAUAAAGCUGCUCCUGUCAGGACUGUAGUGCAAGAGACAUUAUGAACAUGCUGAAAUGUUAACUUUAUUCUUAUAGAAGAUUUAAAAGACUCAAGGAGAAGUCUUGUUACAUACAUUUGGUUUUAUAACAUUAACAUUUACGGUUUGUUAUGCUAUGGAUUCUGUUACAGAACUUAUGAAUGGUUGCUCGUUUGCUUGUCCUAGAGAGGUUUUGUGACGCCCCCAAAAUAGGUAUACAUCACCCAUUCUGAGUUGUCAAUACAUGGUAUAGAAACAACUACAACUUUAUUAUUACAACAGUAAAACUGUGAGUUUGAAUACAAAUAUUAUCUUCUAGACAAUAUCUAUACUCAAAUAAAUCCUCAUCACAUUUAUUGAUACAUUAUUUUACAAAAAUGGUGAGGACUACUAAACAACUCUCUCUAGAACCUUCAUUCCAUACCCCGACUCGUACUCGCUAUAUUCUCGCCUCCUGAGAAGAAAAAUGGAACAAAAAGGAAAAGGGUGAGCUCAACUAGCCCAGUAAAGAAUAUUAUGACUAAGAUAAUAUACAACAAAUUAUCGUUAGUCUUCAACAGGGAAAAAUCUAAUAGAAUACAAUAGACAACAAGUUUUAAAUCAAUAUUCGCAGCGGAAAUAAUAAUUCAUUAGAAGAGUUAAGUAGAGAAUGCAAACUACUAUCUUCUAUGUAUGAAUUUAAAAGUUCAUCGUCUAUCUUUUAUCCCUGUAACAUCAAUCAAUAUAUAUCUGGAAUCAAAUAUUCAUCUUUGCACUACAGGCCAAAGAUAUUCAUCAGUUGGUCAUGUUCAUCUAAACACCUGUUCAUCUUUGCACUACGGGCCAAAGAUAUUCAUCAGAAAUCAUUCAUCUUUGCACUACAGGCCAAAGAUAUUCAAUAAUAUCAUCAUUUAAGACUGAGGAUGAUGAAAAAUAUUUUUAAAGAAACGAAUCCAGUGAAACAAAAUGACAAGGAUUAAGGAUUAAGGAUUCGUACUUUGUUUUAUCCAUGUCCAAAAAUACCUCAAAAAUAAUCAUAGUGGUGUAAAAUUCAAGAAUGAUCAAAACAUGGAUACAAUCAAAGCUAGUAUCCACAAUAGAUAUUUUAGACGAAAAGGGAAAAUUUUCAUUUUUCGAUGAAUAGUGCCGUAUUCGUGAAUAGUGUCGUAUACGUGAAUAGUGCCGUAUACGUGAAUAGUAACUCCGACACCAAAAGUUCCAAAUUUGAUAAAAACUUCAGAUCAAUAUUUCAGAAUAAUGAUAUUGAAGAAAUAAUAUCAUUACGAAAAAAUAAUAUCCCUUACCUCGAAAGACAAUACUUAUAGUUGAAACACCGUAUAUAGGCUAUGACUUGCACCGUAUAGCAACACUCAAAAGUAUACUCACAAGGAUACGCUCGAUAUAUCGAGAGAGAAAAAGAGAAAAGUUUUCAGUUUCUGGUGUGAUUUUUAAUUCUAACCUAAGCACCCUAUUUAUAGGAAAAUGCUUAGAACACCAAAGUAAAAAAUUUAAUAAAAUAUUAAUAUAUAUUAUAAUUUCCUUAGCCCACCUUUGAUGAUCUGAAUUCAGCACAUUGAUAACACAUGUGAGCCCACUAAUUGUACAAAAAAUGUUUUUCUCAAAAUAAUUAACUAAAACUCCCAAAAAUUAAUUAUUUCAGAACUUCAGAACUUCAAUAAUUCAUAAUAAAUAGUCCUUUUAUCAAAAAAUUUGAAUCUCUCAAUUGCAUAUAGGAAAUUCAAUUCUCUAUAACUUUACAGAAGAAAGUUUUUCCAAAUUCCAAACAGAAAUUGACCGAAAUCCACAAACGGGCGAUUUUACAGGCUAUAAUCAAAUUUCNNNNNNNNNNNNNNNNNNNNNNNNNNNNNNNNNNNNNNNNNNNNNNNNNNNNNNNNNNNNNNNNNNNNNNNNNNNNNNNNNNNNNNNNNNNNNNNNNNNNNNNNNNNNNNNNNCAAUACCGUGUGCUACUGUGUUUUAACCACCGGGUAUUCCCACAGUAUUAAUGGUAGCAACUACGCCGUUAUUUAUAACCAACUUAUUCUUAUCGUUUUCUUCCUCCAAUCGCCUUCCGUUAUGGGGCCCACACAUGGCUGCGCCGUCGUACGAAUAUUCCCCGACAGUACGAAUAUUCCACGACCAAACGAAUAUUCCCCGACAAUAAUGAAUAUUUUAUAACCACUUGCUUAUUUUGAAAUAUUUGUGUAUUUUACCCAUAACUAUCCACAUUAAUCCAAUCAACCCUUACUAUUUCAAAAUAAUAAAUAGAGAAAAUUAAAUUUCAUUAAUAAUAAGUUGGGGUCUUACAACCUCCCUUCCUUAUGAAAUUUCAUCCUCGAAAUUGACGUACGUACCUGGUGUUUCGAAAAGGUGAGGAUACCUCACUUUCAUUUCCGUUUCCAAUUCCCAGGUUAUUUCCUCUAUAGCAUGAUUCCUCCACAAAACUUUAACUUGUGGUAUGACCUUUGUGCGUAGGACAUGCUCCUUCCUAUCCAAGAUCUUGACAGGUACCUCUUUGUACGUUAAGUCUUCGGCUAUCUCAUCCGGUUCUAAGUCUAUAACGUUGUUCGGGUCUUUCACAUAUUUACAAAGUGCGGAUAUGUGAAACACAUUAUGAACACGAGACAUACUCGGAGGUAACGCGAGUCUAUAGGCUACAUUUCCUACUCGGUCAAGAAUUUGAAAUGGACCAAUAAAUCAUGGAUUGAGCUUUCCUCUCUUCCUGAAUCUUGUAACUCCUUUCCAUGGUGUAACACGCAACAAUACAUGAUCUCUGAUAUCAAAUUCCACGUCCUUUCGAUGAAGAUCCGCAUAACUCUUUAGUCGGUCAUGUGCCGUUUGUAUACGUUGUCGAAUCAUUUGGAUCUUUUCCGUAGUCAUACGUACCAAAUCGGGUCCCAACAAUGUUGUUUCCCCAACCUCAUCCCAACAUAUUGGAGAGCGACACUUUCGUCCAUAUAAUGCUUCGAAUGGAGCCACCCUUAUACUUGCCUGAUAACUGUUGUUGUAGGAGAAUUCCACCAAUGGUAAAUACUUACCCCAGCUCCCUUUGAAGUCUAGGACACAUAGUCUUAAUAGAUCUUCAAGAGUUUGGAUAGUCCUCUCUGAUUGUCCGUCCGUUUGAGGAUGAUAUGCCGAACUAAAUCAUAAAUCCGUGCCCAUAGCUUUUUGCAAGCUAACCCAAAAUCUUGAAGUGAAUCUUGGGUCACGAUCCGAAACUAUAGAUACUGGCAUGCCAUGCAACCUCACAAUCUCAUUUACAUACAUACUAGCAAGACGUUCAAGAGAAUAAGUCUCCCGUAUCGGCAAGAAAUGUGCAGACUUGGUUAAUCUAUCAACAAUAACCCAAAUAGCAUUUAUGCCUUGAGAAACCGUGGGAAGACCCGUAACGAAAUCCAUGGUAAUGUGUUCCCACUUCCAUUUCGGAAUCUCAAGUGGUUGCAAUGGUCCCUUAGGCACUUGAUGCUCCGCCUUUACACGUUGACAAGUUAAACAUGUUGAGAUAAACUUUGCAAUCUCUCUCUUCAUAUUGUUCCACCAAAAUGUAUGUCGAAGAUCACGAUACAUUUUAGUACUUCCAGGAUGGAUUGCAAAUGGUGUAUUGUGUGCCUCCAUCAUGAUCUUGUACUUCAAAUCAGAAUCGUUAGGAACACAAAGUCUGGAGUGGACUCGAAGUAUUCCUUCUUCAUCAAUUCUCGCUUCCGGAAUAGCACCUUCUUGUACUUUCUUCUUCAUAUGCAUCAGCUCCGGGUCGGUGGCUUGAGCAACCUUAACUUUUUCUAUUAAAGUUGGCUCUAUGCGUAUACUUGACAUCAUCGCACUCGUUCCUGCAUAUGAUCUUCUACUCAACGCGUCAGCUACCACGUUCGCUUUUCCAGGAUGGUAUUGAAUAGUGUGGUCGUAGUCUUUCAAUAGCUCGAGCCAACGUCGCUGCCGCAUGUUGAGUUCUUUUUGAGUGAAGAAAUAUUUAAGGCUUUUAUGGUCUGAAUAUAUCUCCACUUUCUCCCCAUAUAGAUAGUGCCUCCAGAUCUUUAGCGCGAAAACGACUGCUGCCAACUCUAGAUCAUGAGUAGGAUAAUUCCUCUCAUAUUCUUUAAGUUGUCGCGAGGCAUAGGCUAUGACUUUCCCACGUUGCAUGAGAACACAUCCUAACCCUUUGCCCGAAGCAUCGCUGUAGAUAACAAAUCCAUCCGAACCAGAUGGUAUUGUUAGAACAGGUGCCGAAAUAAGUCUUCUCUUAAGCUCUUGGAAACUCUUCUCGCGUUCCUCACUCUAAAUGAAUUUUGUAUCCUUCUGAGUUAGCUGAGUUAAUGGAGUAGCGAUUAGAGAAAACCCUUCCACGAAUCUCCGAUAAUAACCAGCUAGGCCCAGAAAGCUACGUACUUCGGUCACCGACUUCGGUUGCUCCCAACUUUGUAUUGCUUCAAUCUUCGCUGGGUCGACAGAUACUCCAUGUUUAGACACCACAUGCCCAAGGAAUGCUACUUCCUCAAACCAGAAUUCGCAUUUCUUCAACUUGGCAUAUAGCUUGUUUUCACGAAGCCUUUGGAGUACCAUCUUCAAAUGGUGCUCAUGAUCUUCACGGCUUUUGGAAUAUAUGAGAAUGUCAUCAAUAAAGACAACAACGAACCGAUUUAAAUAGUCCUUGAAUACUAGGUUCAUCAUAGCCAUGAAAGUCGUAGGAGCAUUAGUCAAUCCAAAAGACAUGACUAAAAAUUCAUAAUGCCCAUACCGAUUUCUGAAGGCAGUCUUUGGAAUAUCCUCAGUUCUAAUCUUCAGCUGAUGAUAUCCAGAACGAAGAUCGAUCUUUGAAAAGAAUUGUGCUCCUUGCAACUGGUCAAACAAGUCAUCAAUACGAGGUAGAGGAUACUUAUUUCUGAUGGUGACAUGGUUCAAUUCCCGAUAGUCGAUACAAAGUCGCAUACUCCCGUCUUUCUUCUUUACGAAUAAAACAGGAGCACCCCAAGGAGAUGUACUAGGACGAAUGAAACCAAUGCCCAAUAACUCCUGUAGUUGGACAUUUAAUUCCUGAAGUUCAAUAGGAGCCAUUCGAUAUGGGGUUUUAGAAAUGGGCUUUGUACCAGGUUCAAGAUCAAUAAAGAAUUCAACUUCAUGUUAUGGGCGUAGACCAGGAAGUUCUUCAGGAAAUACAUCAGGAAAGUCAAUAACAACAGGAAUAUUAUUCAAAUUUGACGUGUCAUUAUUCAAAUCCAUAACAUGGGCUAAGAAAGCUUGACAUCCGUUUUUCAAUAAACGAAUAGCUUUAUGAUUAGAUAUGACAGUGAUUGAUUUUAAUGGUUUAGUUGCUUGAAUUCGCACAACAGGUUGGUUAGGAAUAUAAAAACUAACAACCUUACGAAAGCAAUCAAUUUUGGCAUGAUGAGUAGUUAACUAAUCAAUCCCUAAAAUCACAUCAAAAGCAAGUAUCUUUAAAGAGAUAAGGUCAACAGGUAAGGUGAUGGUGCCAACUCGAAUCAAACAAGAUUUAUAAAUAGUGGAUGUAAUGAAAGUUUCUCCUAACAGAGUUUCCACAGAUAGGUCAAAGUCUAAUUUCUUCGGAGUCAAGUUUAAACGUUGAGAACAAGCAGGAGAGAUAAAUGAAUGGGUAGCACCGGUAUCAAGUAAGGUAUAAACUUCUCAAGAAUUUAUAAAUAGCUUACCCGUGAUCACCUCGUUUGGGUUCCUCGCAUUUUGACCAGUCACAACAAACGCUCUUCCAAGAACCGUUGACUUCAACUUUUCUGGGACAGCCUUUUGAGUCACCGUCCCCCCUGGACUUGAUUUCGCUACUGUACAAUCUCGAGCGAUAUGUCCUUCCUUUCCAUAAUUAUAACAUUCCUUGAACUGUUCUGGACAGUUUGGACUGAUAUGUCCCUCUUUCCUGCAUUUGUAGCAUACGACCGGUGGUCGUUCCCCUCCCUUGGAACCAGUUGCUGCUGGUGCUGUCGUUUUCACAUUGUCGUUGUUGAAUUUUCUCUUUGUAAAAUCUCCUCCCGAUUCGCUUCUUCUAUUCUCAUGGCCAUGAUUACCACCAGAGUGUUUACCAUUUUUGUCCAUCUUUUUCUUUCUCCGCUGGUUAUCAUUAUUCUGUUGACUGCUAUCUCCAGUAUGAUCCUGGUUAUGAUCCCUCGGUUGACCGUAAUCGUUAUCUCGCUCCAACAAUUGAGCCUUGUUGACAACAUCUGAAUAGAGAGAAAAUUUAUGAGAAAUGAGAUACUGACGUAUGCCGGGUUUCAAACCUCUCAGAAACAUCCGCGUCAUACGUUCCUCAUUCUCCACCAAAUGAGGUGCAAACCUGAAUAACUCCGCGAACUUCGCCUCGUACUGGGACACUGUCAUGUUAUUCUGCUGCAGUCUAAUAAACUCCACUUCCUUCAUAUGACGAACACUUUCAGGAAAGUAUUUUUCAUUGAAAAGUUUCUGAAACGUUUCCCAAGACAUGCUAAGUACAGCUUGAUGGGUAUGCUUCACAGAUUUCCACCAGUAAUCUGCCUCAUUACGGAACAUAAAAGUAGCGAAUGGAACCUUCUGUUCUUCAGUACAUCCCAAGACAUCGAAUAUCUUGGUAAUUUGUUUGACCCACGUCUCCGCUUUAAUCGGAUUCGGCUUUCCCCAGAAUUCUGGUGGUCCCAACUCUUUGAACUACUUGGCCGUGACAAAUCGUGCGUUGUUAUCAUUUCCACCUGUAGUUUGUGCACGUGUCUCCCUCGUCUGAUUUUGCAUGAACUGCAAAAAGCUUCUAAACAUCCCGUCGUUCAUCAUCUGCUCAGUGGCGUUGUUCAUAGGAGAAACAUUGCCGGCCUGCUGCACGUUCUCCUCAUUGGUGAGUACAGGCGUCUCCACGGUCUUAUUUACUCCACUGUUAUCAUUCUCAGUCAUCAUUCUCAAAUACUGCCAUAGAACAAGGGUUAAUUAAGGAAAUCAACAUAUCACAUAAUAUCCCUAUAUAUUGACCAACUAACAAAUUAAAUAAGCUUAGGUAGGACACACUAGCGAAGGAUUUACUCGUCUCUCCCCUCCUAGUUCUAUUCCCCGAUCUCCGCCAGAGAUCAUAUCCCUAAGCUCUGAUACCAACUGUGACGCCCCCAAAAUAGGUAUACAUCACCCAUUCUGAGUUGUCAAUACAUGGUACAGAAACAACUACAACUUUAUUAUUACAACAGUAAAACUGUGAGUUUGAAUACAAAUAUUAUCUUCUAGACAAUAUCUAUACUCAAAUAAAUCCUCAUCACAUUUAUUGAUACAUUAUUUUACAAAAAUGGUGAGGACUACUAAACAACUCUCUCUAGAACCUUCAUUCCAUACCCCGACUCGUACUCGCUAUAUUCUCGCCUCCUGAGAAGAAAAAUGGAACAAAAAGGAAAAGGGUGAGCUCAACUAGCCCAGUAAAGAAUAUUAUGACUAAGAUAAUAUACAACAAAUUAUCGUUAGUCUUCAACAGGGAAAAAUCUAAUAGAAUACAAUAGACAACAAGUUUUAAAUCAAUAUUCGCAGCGGAAAUAAUAAUUCAUUAGAAGAGUUAAGUAGAGAAUGCAAACUACUAUCUUCUAUGUAUGAAUUUAAAAGUUCAUCGUCUAUCUUUUAUCCCUGUAACAUCAAUCAAUAUAUAUCUGGAAUCAAAUAUUCAUCUUUGCACUACAGGCCAAAGAUAUUCAUCAGUUGGUCAUGUUCAUCUAAACACCUGUUCAUCUUUGCACUACGGGCCAAAGAUAUUCAUCAGAAAUCAUUCAUCUUUGCACUACAGGCCAAAGAUAUUCAAUAAUAUCAUCAUUUAAGACUGAGGAUGAUAAAAAAUUUUUUUUUUAAAGAAACGAAUCCAGUGAAACAAAAUGACAAGGAUUAAGGAUUAAGGAUUCGUACUUUGUUUUAUCCACGUCCAAAAAUACCUCAAAAAUAAUCAUAGUGGUGUAAAAUUCAAGAAUGAUCAAAACAUGGAUACAAUCAAAGCUAGUAUCCACAAUAGAUAUUUUGGACGAAAAGAAAAAUUUUCAUUUUUCGAUGAAUAGUGCCGUAUUCGUGAAUAGUACCGUAUACGUGAAUAGUGCCGUAUACGUGAAUAGUAACUCCGACACCAAAAGUUCCAAAUUUGAUAAAAACUUCAGAUCAAUAUUUCAGCAUAAUGAUAUUGAAGAAAUAAUAUCAUUACGAAAAAAAAUAAUAUCCCUUACCUCGGAAAGACAGUACUUCUAACUGGAAUACUGGAUAUAGGCUAUAACUUGAACUUUCACCGUAUAGCAAUACUCAAAGUAUACUCAAAAUACUCACAAGAAUACGCUCGAUAAUAUAGAGAGAGAAAACUUCAGUUUCUGGUGUGAUUUUCAAUUCUAACCUAAGCACCUAUUUAUAGGAAAUUGCUUAGAACACCAAAGCAGAAAAUUUAAUAUAAUAUUAAUAUAUAUAAAAAUAUUAUACGUAUUCCUUGAAAUCUUAAUCUCAGCAAUUCACACAUGCCAACCUUCUAGAAAAAAAUAAAAAAAACGUUUUUCUAAUUUAAAAUAUUUUAAACUUCCAAAAAUCAAUUAUUUCGGAGCUUCGGAACUUCAAUAAUUCAUAAUAAAUAGCCCUUUUAUCAGAAAAUUCGAAUCUCGCGAGUUUUUAUAGGAAAUUCAAUUCUCUACAACUUUGCAGAAGAAAGUUUUUCCAAAUUCCAAACAGAAAUUGACCGAAAUCCACAAACGGGCGAUUUUAGAGGCUAUAAUCAAAUUUCAGUCAAUAAAUGGGGUCCACCGACAUGUUUAACAUGUUUUAAACAUUUAUUGCAACAAAAAUACUCUUCCUCCUCGUAUACUCAUAUAUCCCACAUUCGUUGUAAAAAUAUCACCAUUAUUAUAUUAUUAAAAUAUAAUAAUAUAUAUAUUUAAAUGAAUUAUUUUAUCAGAAAAAGAUAAAAUUUCAAUUUUCAACAAUUGUCACAUUAAAAAUUUUCUCCAUCUAUAUCCACAUAAAAUCAAUAUUUUCCUCAUCAUAUGAAUCAAUAAUUAAUUAUUCACAAAUAAUAUUACAGAAUCACAAUAUUGACAACCAGGCAGUUCCCAGGAAAGAGGGGGCUUUCCAAUAAGAAUUUCUCCUUACUGGCGCGCAAUUAGGUGACCAAACCUCUCCUUAGACAGAACUUUCUAGACAUUGCCAAUAAUGUUAUCUAAUAAUAUUAUUCAGAUAAUAUGAAUUAUUGCUCCGAUAAUAGAAAAUAUUGUGCAGUGACAAUUAUUAAAACAACAAUAAUAUCAACGUAGCAAUUAUUGAAUCAAUAAAAUAUAAUAUUGAACAGUAAUUACUAUAACAAUUAUUGAGUAAUGCCUUCUUACGUAAGAAUCAAUAAUUGGUGCAAUACCGUGUGCUACUGUGUUUUAACCACCGGGUAUUCCCACAGUAUUAACGGUAGCAACUACGCCGUUAUUUAUAACCAACUUAUUCUUGUCAUUUUCUUCCUCCAAUCGCCUUCCGUUAUGGGGCCCACACAUGGCUGCGUCGUCGUACGAAUAUUCCCCAACAGUACGAAUAUUCCACGACCAAACGAAUAUUCCCCGACAAUAAUGAAUAUUUUAUAACCACUUGCUUAUUUUACCCAUAACUAUCUACAUUAAUCAAAUCAACCCUUACUAUUUCAAAAUAAUAGAGAAAAUUAAAUUUCAUUAAUAAUAAGUUGGGGUCUUACAGGUUUGGGCUAGUUUGGACUGGGCGUUCUGUUACAGGUGUGGUCUAGACAGCUGGUCUAGUUUAGUUUGGACUGGUUCUAUUGCUUCAAACUCUGCUAUGGAUGUUUGACUGCUGCAGUCGACUGCUGGGGCUUCAUGAGCACUAAUGUUACUGCAGGUGGUUUGGAUAGUUGGUUAUGUACUGCUGCAGUUGACUGAUGGUUCUAUUUGCUGCAGGUUCUGUUUGCUGGUCGACUG
rnacentral:lncRNA from 1 species